rnacentral:hammerhead_ribozyme from 1 species
AUCUAGCUGACGCGUCCCGAACAGAACGAAACAUGUGCCCUGGAU